rnacentral:rRNA from 1 species
CUCGUAGUUGGAUCUAGGGACGCGCAUUUCAAGCGCCCGUGUCGUCGGGUCAAACCGGCGACUGCGUUGGCGUUGCGGGCUCGGUCCGUCGGUGGACCCUCGUGGUCUUAAUCGGCGUGUCAACCGGCCCGCCCGUCCCCUCCUUCUGGAUUCCCGUUCCUGCUAUUGAGUUAGUGGGGACGUCACAGGGGGCUCAUCGUCGUCAUGCGAAUGGCGGCGGUGGGUCCCUGGGGCCCAGAUCGUUUACCGUGAAAAAAUUAGAGUGUUCAAAGCAGGCAGAUCCAAUUUUCUGCCACCGAAUACAUUAGCAUGGGAUAAUGGAAUAGGACCCUGUCCUCCUAUUUUCAGUUGGUUUUGGCAGCGCGAGGACUAGGGUAAUGAUUAAUAGGGAUAGUUGGGGGCAUUAAUAUUUAAUUGUCAGAGGUGAAAUUCUUGGAUUUAUGAAAGAUUAACUUCUGCGAAAGCAUCUGCCAAGGAUGUUUUCAUUAAUCAAGAACGAAAGUUAGGGGAUCGAAGACGAUCAGAUACCGUCGUAGUCUUAACCAUAAACGAUGCCGACCAGCGAUUAGGAGACGUUGAAUACAAAACACCACCAUCGGCGCGGUCGUCCUUGGCGUCUGUCCCUUUCAACGGGGGCAGGCGCGAGGGCGGUUUAGCCCGGUGGCACCGGUGAAUGACUCCCCUAGCAGCUUGUGAGAAAUCAUAAGUCUUUGGGUUCCGGGGGGAGUAUGGUCGCAAGGCUGAAACUUAAAGGAAUUGACGG